ensembl:lncRNA
AAAACAAAGAAGAAGAAGCCGGGUUUGGGAGAACAAUCUGGCAACCCUGGCCACCAGUCUGGCGUAAACAAGUCGGGAUUUUAGGGUGUGAGUCUUACGAAUCGCCUUUCAGCCAAUCACAGCUCACAUCCUGCCCACAUGGCUGGGUUGUUUACUACAAGAACUGGAGAGAGGAACCGAGAAACCCAGGAACUGACUCAAACCGGCAUGUACAACACAAACACAUACACUACAAUGGGCUCGGAGUUGGGGUUAGCUACCUGGAUGCCGUCAUCAAUCACAGUAGGGAUGAGUGAUGCUAACCGAGACGCUCACCUGAGCUUUUCACAUGGAAAGGAGUGGGACUCCUGUCUUCCCAGAUGGGCCGGGAGAUUCAGGGUCGAAGAUGAAUCAACGACCUCUGACCUUGUAAAAGUGAGCCGUGAAAGGCUUCUGCAAGUGGACACGCUUCCUAUUACAAACCAAGUCCAUCGAAGUGGAAAGCUGAAACGAAUGAGUGACACGCCCACCGGUGCACGCCUUUACAGCACGCGCUCCUUCAGCAAUCCAGUGCGGGUUUUGUCGCGUGCCAGGAGUGCGCAUUUGGAAAGGGUUUCGAGUCGGAGCCGGUCAGAGCAAGUUCAGAGUGAAAAAAAAAAAGAAAGAAAG